rnacentral:tRNA from 1 species
GGGGAUGUGGCGAAACCGGCAGACGCAUCGGACUUAAAAUCCGAAGCCCGCAAGGGCGUGCGGGUUCGACUCCCGCCAUCCCCACCA